GAUGAAAACGUAGCGAAAUGCGAUAAUUAAUGUGAAUUGCAGAAUUCCGUGAAUCAUCGAGUCUUUGAACGCACAUUGCGCCUCAUGGCAUUCCGUGAGGCAUGCCCAUCUCAGCGUUAGAAAAUAUUCUCAAAUUUUAGUUUUGUGCUAAAAUUUGGAUCAUGUCAAGGAAGCUAUUACUAUUAUUGUGAUCGCUCUUUGGAAAUUGAUAGGUCUUUGAGUUGCUACUCAUAGAACGUGAUGAAUCUUUCUUCGUUCUAUUGUAAUUCACUCUGGUAGUCCUAAAACUUGUAUGCCUGUGGCAUAUCUUGUAAUUUGACCUGAGAUUGGGUAGGGAUACCCGCUGAACUUAAGCAUAUCAAUAAGCGGAGGA
rnacentral:misc_RNA from 1 species